UCCUUUUCGUCGGGCGACGCCGACGCGUCUCGUACAGACGUACGGUCGCACUCUCGCUGGCUCCUCGGCGGCGCAGGCGCGCCACCACCCCCUCCUCACCGCGCCGCCCAGACCAGGCUUCUCGCCGCCCACCCCGCCCACCUGUGGACUGGAGCCGAGGGUCGCGUCCUCGGAGGCCGGCUGCCCUUCUUCCGACACGAGCUAGGUCGCCAGCGCGACGCCGUUGCCUGCAGGCCGCCGCCACCGAGGUCCGCCCGUUCGACUUCUCAUCCGGAUCUGCUUACUCCCGGCAGCAUCGUACAGGUAA
rnacentral:lncRNA from 1 species